GCCCGUGUAGUCCAAAGGCAGGAGACAAAGCACUUAAAAUGCUAACAGUGUGGGUUCGAGUCCCACGACGGGUACCA
rnacentral:tRNA from 1 species